UCCUGAGAACCAGACUCCUCAAAACCCUCACACGAACCUCUCACAUGCCUAACCUAAAAUAACGCCCUCCUCACGCAACUCCCUCCAUUGAAGCUUCUCUGUGCCAACCCUAAACUUGUCUGCCGAACAUCUCCGCCAUCCUCUCUUAGCUGAAGCCCUCUUCGGCGAAGCCCUCUUCGGCGAAGCCCUCUCCGUCGAAGCCCUGUCAGCCGAAGACCUCCACUAAAUUGAAGAACACCUGCUUCCUGCCCGUCGCUGAUGAGCCUCCACCUCCUUCCAGGUACGCAACCUGCAUAACCUUCAUUUAUCCAAUUCAAGCUCAUCUGCCACUAUUCAAUCUAUCGUUGUCGAUUCCUUCCAGGUACUACUUUCUCCCCCUUAGUUCAUGAAGAUACCAGCUCAUCUAUCCAAUUCGAGCUCAUCUACCACUAUUCAAUCUAUCGUUGUCGAUUUUUUUUUUUCUGUUGCUUAUUGAUUUUAGGAAUCUCCCAUAGAGGAGGAUAAAGAAAGGCAAUGAAAUGAUAUGUUGUUAGGGUUUUUAAUAUUCACCAUCUUUUUUCGAUUUAGGGAUCCAUCUCGAUUUAAUCCUUCGACCUCUCUUUAUAGGUAAAGGCUCUUGCUUUUAGAAUUUGUUUAAGUUUUUUUUGUGUGCUUGAGAAAACCAACAAUGUUGCCUUGUGAAAUUUUGUCAAUCCUUGUUUUAACUUCGCUAGAACCAGGAAAACUGCUAGUGAAUAAUUUGUUAGUUAGUGGUGUAUUCAAAAAUGAUAAAGAAUGGUUUUUGGUAUACUUUUCUGAAGAAACUUUCACCAUAUUAGUAACACUUUUCUUUCUCAUUGGAGCAAAAUGCAUUGUAAAGUGCUUAAGUUCUAAUUCUAAUGUAAGGACUAGACUUUUUUUUUUUUUCUUAACAUAAUUGUUUCAUCCAUGUUAUUGUUGCUUCCUCACUGUUUUAUUGUUUGCAUAGAAUAAUUUUCUACUAAUAAUUCCUUGUUUUUUGUUUGGCUAUACAACAUUUUAUUAGGAACCAUUUGAGUGCUAUAGCAUAUCAGAUAUCGAAGAUGGCCUUGGUUUGAAAAGAAAACAACUUAUUGCUAUUGCUCUUCUUGCUGGCAAUGACCAUUUACAUGGGGUUCCUAGGUUUGAUGUUCAUAGUGUUGUUUGCUUUGUAUAGUUGUAUUCUGAUGAUGACAUUUUGGAUCGGUAGGUGCUAGAUUGAUGUUUGGCUUUGAUUUACCUAUGUAGAUGGUGUUUAUUUUUCUAAAAGUUAAUUUCAACAUGUUUUAUAGAUUUUUGUAGUGGGAACUUAGGUUUUUGAUUAGUAAUCACUCAAGCUUGAUCUUACUCAGCUUCUAUUCCUUCAUUAUUUUUUAAUCAUUUGUCUUUUCAUGAAAGAUUAAUGCUCAUAGAAUAUAAAAAAGAAUGCUUAAGUCUUUAAUCUAGAAUGGUUCAAUAGGUGAUUGUUUCAUAUAACAAGGAUCCAAUUCCUAUGACGCUGUACAAGUGGAGCCAUUAUUACACUCGAGGAAAAUAGAAUUGUACUUGAUGAUAAGUUGACUCAAGUGCCUCAAGAUGCAACUUCUCUUGUGCUCAUUUGUACCAUGGCUAUUUAUGUUUCUCUUAUACUACUUUUCCAAUUUUAUCAAAGAUGCGCUAGUCGAUGAAACCCGGAAGCGAGAACUGGCAUAUGCCUUCAUGCACAUUUUAAAACCAGUUAUAUGGUAAUUUCUAGUUCCCAUUCUAUCCAGACUGAUAAAACUCUAUGAACAAGUACAACUUUUGCUUCCAUCCACUAGUGUUCUACAAAUUUAUAGUCUUCAUAUGGCACGGUAUCAUCAAAAUGUCCUUUCAGUAACUGUAGAACUAUGAGGGAGUGAUUAUUGACUUAUUUAAUUUGAGUUAGGUUAAUUAUAGUUGAUAUGACAAGUUAAUUGGGUGAGUUACAUAACUUAGAGGAUCUAGACAAGCAAUGAAAGGAAGAAUAAAGGAGAGGGAGAGUGUGGGUGAGAGCUAUGACAACAUACCUUUAGACUUUAUCACAGGGCUUAAUCAUGAAAUUUUGGCCUUUCUCUACUGUAGGUAUCAUACACCUUGUAUUUCAGCAUCAUGCAGUGAGGCAUUCAAUACAGUACACUUUUUUUGAAUUUUACUUUUAACAAUGCAAGUGACUUAUAUACAAAAUAGUUUUUAGUGUUGUUGAUUUAAAUGCUACUUCAUCUCUCUUAUUAGCGGUUACCAUCUCAAGGGCAUAAUUGGAUUGCAGUCUUUAUCUUCCAGUGGAAAACUCUUAUAGGGUACCAUAUCAACAAGAGAAUGGAGUUUGUAUUUGCAAGCCAUAAUUUUGAUGUGUGGGAUGCUUGGACUCUGUGUGGUUCUAUCUUGGAACAAUGUAAACUAGACAACUAUAAAAAAUCAUCAGUUGUCCUCGAGGUAAACAUAGAGAUCUUUGCAAUGGUUAAUGAAGACGGUGUUACUAGAUGGAUUGAUUUAGUUGUUUACGAUAAAAGAGGCUUGGAAAGAAUCGGAUAUCCUUGGCUUUCGACGAAACCAUGGAUGGUAUUGGCUAUUUGGUGAAGGCUUAAUUUGUAUUAGGAAAUGUUUAAAUCCUUAAUGGAUCAAAUUUCUAAUGUUGUAUUAGUUUCAUAUGUAAAUUGAUACAAAUAUUUAUUAGAUGAAUAAAAAUUAUGGAUUCAUAUUU